AGCUCCAAUAGCGUAUAUUAAAGUUGUUGCAGUUAAAAAGCUCGUAGUUGGAUUUCUGCUGGAAGCAGCCAGUCCGCCCUCAGGGGUGUGCACUUGGUGAAUUCUAGCAUCCUUCUGGAUUUCUCCACACUUCAUUGUGUGGAGUUUUUUCCAGGACUUUUACUUUGAGAAAAUUAGAGUGUUUCAAGCAGGCUUGUCGCCUUGAAUACUGCAGCAUGGAAUAAUAAGAUAGGAUUUCGGCCCUAUUUUGUUGGUUUCUAGGACUGAAGUAAUGAUUAAUAGGGACGGUUGGGGGCAUUCGUAUUUAACUGUCAGAGGUGAAAUUCUUAGAUUUGUUAAAGACGAACUACUGCGAAAGCAUUUGCCAAAGAUGUUUUCA
rnacentral:rRNA from 1 species